rnacentral:rRNA from 1 species
UACGGGGGGGGCAAGCGUUGUUCGGAAUUACUGGGCGUAAAGGGCUCGUAGGCGGCCAACUAAGUCAGACGUGAAAUCCCUCGGCUUAACCGGGGAACUGCGUCUGAUACUGGAUGGCUUGAGAUUGGGAGAGGGAUGCGGAAUUCCAGGUGUAGCGGUGAAAUGCGUAGAUAUCUGGAGGAACACCGGUGGCGAAGGCGACUUCCUGGCCUGUUCUUGACGCUGAGGCGCGAAAGCUAGGGGAGCAAACGGGG